rnacentral:misc_RNA from 1 species
AUGAGCUUUUUCCAUACGCGUUCGAGAACGUUGGAAAUUAUUUGGAGGAGCACUACGACAAUCCAGCAACUCAAAUAAUUGUUGAAGAUUUGAGGCACAUUGCAGACCAACAAGCGGAAAAUGAUGUGGCAGUUGUGCGGAUCCGCGAACCAAGAAAGGAAUGCAUUGAGGAUGUAACAAAAAAUGUCAGACACUGGAUAAAAAGAGACAAAAAACUGACACCAAUGAAAGCUCUCCAGGGGCUCAUUUGGGAAGAGGCUUACCAGCGCGGAGAUGUGAAAGGACAUGUAUAUCCGGACGUUUUACCAGUUUUGAAAAUUGUUGAAAAUAGAAAAAUCCCGAUCUACAUCUACUCAUCGGGAUCGGUCCACGCUCAAAAGCUCUUGUUUGCCAAUUCAAUUGAAGGAGAUAUGACCAAAAUUCUCUAUGGCUACUUUGACACAAAUAUCGGUCUGAAGGGAGAAAGCAAUUCAUACACGAAAAUCAGCGAGCGAAUUAAAAUUCCUCCCAGUGAAAUACUAUUCCUGACUGAUGUUGAAGCAGAAGCGGCUGCUGCCAAGAAAGCUGGGUUACAGACAAAGUUAGUAGUUCGUCCUGGAAAUGCGGGUCUAACACAAGAAGCUAUAAACGCCUACGGAACCAUUGAAAGUUUGGAAGAAAUUUUGUAA